AAUCUUGCGCAAUGGGCGAAAGCCUGACGCAGCCAUGCCGCGUGAAUGAUGAAGGUCUUAGGUUUGUAAAAUUCUUUCACCGGGGACGAUACUGACGGUACCCGGAGAAGAAGCCCCGGCUAACUUCGUUCCAGCAGCCGCGGUAAUACGAAGGGGGCUAGCGUUGCUCGGAAUUCCUGGGCGUAAAGGGCGAGUAGGCGGUUCGUUAAGUCAGAGGUGCAAUCCCAGGGCUCAACCCUGGAACUGCCUUUGAUACUGGCGAUCUUGAGUAUGAGAGAGGUAUGUGGAACUCCGAGUGUAGAGGUGAAAUUCGUAGAUAUUCGGAAGAACACCAGUGGCGAAGGCGACAUACUGGCUCAUUACUGACGCUGAGGCGCGAAAGCGUGGGGAGCAAACA
rnacentral:rRNA from 1 species